CCUACGGGUGGCAGCAGUGGGGAAUAUUGGGCAAUGGGCGCAAGCCUGACCCAGCAACGCCGCGUGAAGGAAGAAGGCUUUCGGGUUGUAAACUUCUUUUGUCAGGGAAGAGUAGAAGACGGUACCUGACGAAUAAGCCACGGCUAACUACGUGCCAGCAGCCGCGGUAAUACGUAGGUGGCAAGCUUUGUCCGGAUUUACUGGGUGUAAAGGGCGUGUAGCCGGGUUGACAAGUCAGAUGUGAAAUCCUGCGGCUUAACCGCAGAACUGCAUUUGAAACUGUUGAUCUUGAGUACUGGAGAGGCAGACGGAAUUCCUAGUGUAGCUGUGAAAUGCGUAGAUAUUAGGAGGAACACCAGGGGCGAAGGCGGUCUGCUGGACAGCAACUGACGGUGAGGCGCGAAAGCGUGGGGAGCAAACAGGAUUAGAUACCCCAGUAGUC
rnacentral:rRNA from 1 species